AUUGAACGCUAGCGGGAUGCUUUACACAUGCCAGUCGAACGGCAGCGCGGACUUCGGUCUGGCGGCGAGUGGCGAACGGGUGAGUAAUGUAUCGGAACGUGCCCAGUAGCGGGGGAUAACUACGCGAAAGCGUAGCUAAUACCGCAUACGCCCUACGGGGGAAAGCAGGGGAUUGUAAGACCUUGCACUAUUGGAGCGGCCGAUAUCGGAUUAGCUAGUUGGUGAGGUAACGGCUCACCAAGGCGACGAUCCGUAGCUGGUUUGAGAGGACGACCAGCCACACUGGGACUGAGACACGGCCCAGACUCCUACGGGAGGCAGCAGUGGGGAAUUUUGGACAAUGGGGGCAACCCUGAUCCAGCCAUCCCGCGUGUGCGAUGAAGGCCUUCGGGUUGUAAAGCACUUUUGGCAGGAAAGAAACGUCGCGGGCUAAUACCCCGUGGAACUGACGGUACCUGCAGAAUAAGCACCGGCUAACUACGUG
rnacentral:rRNA from 1 species